rnacentral:rRNA from 1 species
ACUCCUACGGGAGGCAGCAGUGGGGAAUAUUGCACAAUGGGCGCAAGCCUGAUGCAGCCAUGCCGCGUGUGUGAAGAAGGCCUUCGGGUUGUAAAGCACUUUCAGUCGUGAGGAAGGUAGUGUAGUUAAUAGCUGCAUUAUUUGACGUUAGCGACAGAAGAAGCACCGGCUAACUCCGUGCCAGCAGCCGCGGUAAGUACGGAGGGUGCGAGCGUUAAUCGGAAUUACUGGGCGUAAAGCGCAUGCAGGUGGUUGUUAAGUCAGAUGUGAAAGCCCGGGGCUCAACCUCGGAAUAGCAUUUGAAACUGGCAGACUAGAGUACUGUAGAGGGGGUAGAAUUUCAGGUGUAGCGGUGAAAUGCGUAGAGAUCUGAAGGAAUACCGGUGGCGAAGGCGGCCCCUGGACAGAUACUGACACUCAGAUGCGAAAGCGUGGGAGCAAACAGGAUUAGAUACCCCUGGUAGACUGUCA